UAGUAGAUGCACCCUGAUUAGACCGCCCACAAUUGAUGGGCGUUUUUCUU
rnacentral:sRNA from 1 species